UACGAAGGGAGCUAGCGUUGUUCGGAAUCACUGGGCGUAAAGCGCACGUAGGCGGCUGUGUCAUUCAGGGGUGAAAUCCCGGAGCUCAACUUCGGAACUGCCUUUGAUACAGCACGUCUUGAGUCCGAUAGAGGUGGGUGGAAUUCCUAGUGUAGAGGUGAAAUUCGUAGAUAUUAGGAAGAACACCGGUGGCGAAGGCGGCCCACUGGAUCGGUACUGACGCUGAGGUGCGAAAGCGUGGGGAGCAAACAGG
rnacentral:rRNA from 1 species